AUGUCUCCUUUAAUUUGGGUUUAGGCACUUGAAAUUAUAGAGACAUAUGCGCUUUUUG
rfam:Staphylococcus microti strain DSM 22147 contig_203, whole genome shotgun sequence.